CGCGCGGGUAGGGCCGGGGGCUCGCCCUCCCCCACGCCCCGAAACGGGCGUAAAGCGGGGGCCAGUAACCCGGCACGGCUCCUGCCAUCGGGCUACGGUAGCCUCAGCCGACCCAUGACCCCCGUCCCGUGGGGCCGGCGGUGGCGGAGCCCUCUCCGGAGGGAGAGAGGCUACCGCCUUUACCGGGGGAACCCGGCCAGGCCCGGAAGGGAGCAACCUAACCCCGGACGCCCGGCGUUCACGGGGGCCUACGGGGUGAAGGCAACGGCUGAGUAAACUACCGUAGCCGGGGCAGGGCCGUGGGUCUCCGGGGGCCGUGCG
rnacentral:SRP_RNA from 1 species